GAAAAUGGGCAUGCUAGAGAUUUUUUGUGGUAGUAUACUCGAACCAAAAUUGAAGCUCAACGAAAGUCGUGCCGCGGUAGGUGUAUGGUGUCAUGGAUAGUAGAGGUCACUAUCUACCCAACGACACCCAUAUCUUGAAAGUCUAUCAUUGUAUUUUUUUUAAACACUCUCCAAAAGUUGGAAUUUUUUCCCCCAAAAAUAGCUACUGCACCACAUACACGAAGAAUUUCGAAAUUUUUUAAGGGCCAACAUAUGCGUCCUCAACACCUCUGCCAAUGACCAUAAUUUCAGAUAAAUGCGUUACGAAUUGUCGGUGAUAUGCAACAAAAAGUAUUUUGGCCACCUUACUGCUAUUUUUUUCAUGA